CUUUCUGAGAGAAGACUGCAUAGUUGAGUGACCAUCUGAGGAAUUAACUUGGACAUCUAUGAAUUAGACAUUAGAAGGACUUUUCAUUUUAUUAACUAGGACUUCCUUCUUAAAAUCUUGAAGGACAUAAGGUUUGGAAGCAAAUGAAUAAGGUGGAUUCUAUUAUUAUAAUACAGUACAAUUAGAGGAAAUUUGAAGGGUUAAAUCUUGAGAACGCUUGUAAAGUAUUGCCUAUAAUAUUUUUGGCUACGCUUGAAGUUUUUAACUUUUGGCAAUGAUAAUAUUGACAACACUUCUAAAGUGUACUCUUUAAUACUAUAGUUACACUUUAUAAGCGCUGUUAUAAUAUCAAAUAAAUGGCAACAAUCAUUUAUAUAUAUGGCCACACUUUUAAAGGUCCUAUUGUUAUAAUUGUAAUAACAACACAAUACAACUGUGACCUUAAAAUUUUACUAAAAUAUUAUAUUCCCUCCAAUAUUUUCAACUCUCCCUACCAUUUUAUUGGCCAAAAAAAAAUUUAUUAAUAAAAUAUUUUGUUUCUAAUUCUCCAACUAUACUCUUAUCUCCAAAAACGUCUUUCACUUUACGCUUUCUCGAGCUUCCUCUGAAAUUAUAGACGAACUGAAGACGAAGAGCUAAAGGUGAAGAAUUGAUAUCACGAACCCGAAGAUCGAUGAACUGAGCUAAAGGUUAUGAACUGAGCUAGAGAUUUCUUUGAUAGUGAAGAUCGAGGAACCGAGAUGAAGCUGAAUAAUUGAAGAAAGACGAACUGAGCUGAAGAUGAAUAGCUAAAGCUAAAGAAAUGAAGGGCGAAAGCUGAAGAACAGAAGAUUUGAGCUGAAGAUUUCUCCAAUAUUGGUUUUGUCAAGCGUAAUUACCGAUUUCCUCAAGCUUAAGAUUAAGCAGAAGUGAUUGCUUUGGGGUUGUUACAACUUAACUUCCAAAGUAGGAGAUGAAAUUGUCGUAAAUCUCAUCGCCAUUACCUUGGUUUAUUCAGCAGACGAGAAAGAGGGAACUACUACUCGGAAGCCUUUGAAUCGAAAGGUUUGGAUGAUAAUGACCUGUGCUUGGAGGGUAAUUUUAUGGUGGAAUUUUUUCAUAUAAAUAAGAACAAUUGAAUUCUAACUAUUUCUUUGUUACUUGAAUUCUAAAUUUUUUAAUCGCUUCACUAUUUUGCUUGUUUUAUCUUCAAUGGAUGUAACAUUGGGUCCUCGUAAUGGAUGAAGAAGAUAAAAAUCUUUUCCUUCUCCGACGAGCAUUUGUAUAAAUGCUCAUGUAUUUAUGACACAACUUGUGCUUGCGAAUCUUUUUGAAUUUUUUUGUAUUUUACCUUAUAUUUUUGUAAUGAUAUGGUGCUGUCAUCGGUGUCCACAACAUAUGAAAUGAAUCUUUUAGGGAUUAAUCUAUGAUUUUCCUUCAAAGCAACCAGCAAGUGAUUCAUUGUAUCUUUGUAGAGUGUUCCACAAAGUUUUAAGUACCUUCUCUAGCUUGUAACAACACAUAUAGGGUAACAUUCUCUAUAAUUUUUUCACUUUCCGCAUUUAUCUUUUAUGGGUGCGUCUCUGAUUGAA